AGAGGAGAUGUGGGACCACAGGGGUUAGUUUACCACUCCUAAACUAAGUCCCAAAAUGGUACCAAAUAGAGAACAGGGUGACAUUUGGGAUGCACCCCCUACAUAGUGUGAGUGAUAUCAGUGUCACCGCUCGACUUGGGAUACUGCCCCCUGCUGGUCCAAAUGAGCCAUGUGCAUAGUGUUGCAUCAGAAAUGUGGUUUUAGAGCGCCCUUUUAAAGUGUUAAUAAUGCUCUCCUUUAUCUGUCGUUUUCAUUUAAUCCCAACGCCACAGGUGCUGAAUCGUGAGUGGAGUCAUUUUAAACCAGAUUCCACAAUCACUUGAGCCAUCUAAUAAAUGUGAAUGAUUCCUCUACUUCUGGGUGUAGAGACAAUGGCGAAUGAGUCAUUGCUUCAGGAUUUGGGGGGGAAAUGCAUAUCUUCAUAUCAAUGACAACUGAGCAGAGCACAUUAUACAGGUGGUCUGCAGAGUCAUAACUUAGCAACUUAUCUAACGGUUAAGACAGGGUUUCCCCAUCUCAGUCCUCGGGACCCCAAGGGGUGCAACGUUUUGGUUUUUGCCCUAGUACAACACAGCUGAUUCAAAUAAUCAACUAAUCAUCAACUAAUCAUCAAGCUUUGAUCAUUUGAAUCAGCCGUGUAGUAUUUAGAGGUCGACCGAUUAAAUCGGCAUGGCCGGUAUUUUUGGAAGCCGAUUAUGUCCGAUUACAUUGCACUCCACGAGGAGACUGCGUGGCAGGCUGACCACCUGUUAUGCGAGUGCAGCAAGGAGCCAAGAUCCACACAGCUGUCCAGUGGUACCCCUGACACCAGCUCCAUGGCCAGAACCCUCCUUCCUGAGAGCUCGUCCACCACAAAUGGCACGUGGAAAAAUGGGUCAUCCGCCAGAAGUGACCUGAGGCCAGAGGCAGACAGAGAUCAUUAAUCUCCUCAACAGGACUGAGCUGCCAAAGAUAAAUAAUCUACAAAUAAAACCUAAUCUAUUCAUGGGUUAUUGACUGAUACUAUUGAUGCUAUACUACUGAACCUGGAAACGCAGCCCGGUUCUCUUUGGAUGUCAAAGAGUAUGGGAUCCCUCACCUGGA